rnacentral:rRNA from 1 species
AACGUAGGAGACAAACGUUAUCCGGAGUUACUGGGCGUAAAGGGCGUGUAGGCGGUUCGUUAAGUCUGGCGUGAAAGCUCUCGGCUAAACCGGGAGAGGUCGUUGGAUACUGGCAAACUAGAGGACGGUAGAGGCGUGUGGAAUUCCGGGUGUAGUGGUGAAAUGCGUAGAGAUCCGGAGGAACACCAGUGGCGAAGGCGACACGCUGGGCCGUACCUGACGCUAAAGCGCGACAGCAUGGGGAGCAAACGGG